CAAAAGUUUGGUCCUACCUUUAGUGUCAACUCUAGCCAAAUUUACACAUGCAAGUUUCCGCCCCCCUGUGAGGAUGCCCUUCAGUCCCCUGAUAGGAGACAAGGAGCCGGUAUCAGGCUCAUAUUUCAACCCACGCCCACAACACCUUGCUAUGCCACACCCCCAAGGGAAUUCAGCAGUGAUAUACAUUAAGCCAUGAGCGAAAGCUCGACUCAGUUAAAGCUAAAUAGGGCCGGUAAAUCUCGUGCCAGCCACCGCGGUUAUACGAGAGACCCAAGUUGACAACCACCGGCGUAAAGAGUGGUUAAGUGUACCCUAAACUAAAGUCGAAUGCCCCCCUUGCUGUUAUAAGCAUAUGAUGGUAAGAAGCCCACCCACGAAAGUGACUUUACUCAACUGACUCCACGAAAGCUAAGAUACAAACUGGGAUUAGAUACCCCAUUAUGCUUAGCCCUAAAAAUUAAUAGCCCCCUACAUCCGCUGUUCGCCAGGGAAUUACGAGCACUAAGCUUAAAACCCAAAGGACUUGGCGGUGCUUUAGAUCCACCUAGAGGAGCCUGUCCUAUCACCGAUAACCCCCGUUUAACCUCACCUUUUUUAGCCCUCCCCGCCUAUAUACCGCCGUCGUCAGCCUACCCUAUGAAGGACUAAUAGUUAGCUUAAUUGGUUUAGCCCUAAACGCCAGGUCGAGGUGUAGCGCAUGAAAAGGGAAGAGAUGGGCUACAUUUUCUGUAUCACAGAUAACACGAAUGACCACAAUGAAAAACUGUACCUGAAGGAGGAUUUAGCAGUAAGCCGGCAGAAUUAUGUUCCGCUGAAAACGGCCCUGAAGCGCGCACACACCGCCCGUCACUCUCCCCAACCCCUUUUCCCCACCUUUCUUCUCUCGACUAGUCUUCAUUUCUAUUUCCUAACCUCUUCUCCCGCUCACCUCACCUACCCCUUCCCAUUUUCGUUUUCUUUCACAAGGGGAGACAAGUCGUAACAUGGUAAGUGUACCGGAAGGUGCACUUGGAGCACC
rnacentral:ncRNA from 1 species